rnacentral:rRNA from 1 species
AGAGUUUGAUCCUGGCUCAGGACGAACGCUGGCGGCGUGCUUAACACAUGCAAGUCAAGGGGGCCCAGCAAUGGGCAACCGGCGAACGGGUGCGUAACACGUGAGCAACCUACCGAACUGUGGGGGAUAGCCGGCCUAACGGCCGAGUAAUACCGCAUACGCUUUCUAAAAGGCAUUUUUUGGAAAGGAAACCUACGGGACAGAUCGAGGGGCUCGCGGCCUAUCAGCUAGUUGGUGAGGUAAUGGCUCACCAAGGCUACGACGGGUAGCUGGUCUGAGAGGAUGGCCAGCCACAUUGGGACUGAGAUACGGCCCAGACUCCUACGGGAGGCAGCAGUGGGGAAUCUUGCGCAAUGGCCUAACGCCUGACCCAGCAACGCCGCGUGAGGGAGGAAAUCCUUCGGGAUGUAAACCUCACAAGCAAGGGAAGAGCGCGCAGGGGUGAAUACCCCCUGCGUCCGACGGUACCUUGCGUAAGCCACGGCUAACCACGUGCCAGCAGCCGCGGUAAUACGUAGGGUGCGAGCGUUAAUCGGAAUUACUGGGCGUAAAGCGUGCGUAGGCGGUCCCGCAAGUCCGCUGUGAAAGCCCCGAGCUUAACUUGGGAACUGCAGUGGAAACUAUGGGACUUGAAUCUGGCAGAGGGGGGUGGAAUGCCACGUGUAGCAGUGAAAUGCGUAGAGAUGUGGCGGAACACCGAUGGCGAAGGCAGCCCCCUGGGCUAAGAUUGACGCUCAGGCACGAAAGCGUGGGGAGCAAACAGGGUUAGAUACCCUGGUAGUCCACGCCCUAAACGAUGACAACUAGGUGUUGGGGAAGCGAUUUCUCAGUACCGCAGCUAACGCGUGAAGUUGUCCGCCUGGGGAGUACGGUCGCAAGAUUAAAACUCAAAGGAAUUGACGGGGACCCGCACAAGCGGUGGAUGAUGUGGAUUAAUUCGAAGCAACGCGAAUAACCUUACCUACCCUUGACAUGUACGGAAGCUCAUCGAGAGGUGAGUGUGCCCGAAAGGGAGCCGUAACACAGGUGCUGCAUGGCUGUCGUCAGCUCGUGUCGUGAGAUGUUGGGUUAAGUCCCGCAACGAGCGCAACCCUUGUCCCUAGUUGCUACGCAAGGGCACCCUAGGGAGACCGCCGGUGACAAACCGGAGGAAGGUGGGGAUGACGUCAAGUCCUCAUGGCCCUUAUGGGUAGGGCCUCACACGUCAUACAAUGGCCGGUACAGAGGGUUGCCAAACCGCGAGGUGGAGCCAAUCCCAGAAAGCCGGUCGUAGUCCGGAUUGCAGUCUGCAACUCGACUGCAUGAAGUCGGAAUCGCUAGUAAUCGCGGAUCAGCAUGUCGCGGUGAAUACGUUCCCGGGUCUUGUACACACCGCCCGUCACACCAUGGGAGUGGGGUGCACCAGAAGUAGGUAGGCUAACCGCAAGGAGGCCGCUUACCACGGUACGCUUCAUGACUGGGGUGAAGUCGUAACAAGGUAACCGU